UAGAAGUCAGGUCGGAUUAAGCCAUAGUACGGAAAAAACUAUGCUACCUGUGAGCCCCGUCCAAGGACGUUAAAAGAAGUCAGGCCAUCAUAAAUGCCAUAGCUKGAGUAAACUAUGCUGCCUGUAGCUCCACCUGAGAAGGUGUAAAAAAUCUGGGAGGCCACAAACCAUGGAAGCUGUACGCAUGG
rnacentral:lncRNA from 1 species